rnacentral:lncRNA from 1 species
UAGGUGCAGGGAACAUGGGAAGAGGGGACCAAAAGGUGACGUUUUAUGGCAUGGGUCAAGGCAGAGCACCUGCAUAUCCCACCUGUGUAGAGCGGGAGCCAGGCAUGGUGGCUCACACCUGUAAUCCCAGCACUUCGGGAGGCCUAGCUAGGUAGGUGGAUCACCUGAGGUCAGGAGUUCAAGACCAGGCUGGCUAACAUGGCCAAACACUGUCUC